rnacentral:rRNA from 1 species
GCCAGCCCGCUACAGAAACUACAAAGGAAUUGACGGGGCCCGGCACAAGCGGAGGAGCAUGUGGUUUAAUUCGAUGAUACGCGAGGAACCUUACCUGGGCUCGAACGUAAGAUGACUGUAGGUGAAAGCUUACAUCUCUUCGGAGCAUUUUACGAGGUGCUGCAUGGUUGUCGUCAGCUCGUGCCGUGAGGUGUCGGGUUAAGUCCCAUAACGAGCGCAACCCCUACCUUUAGUUGCCACCAGGUUAAGCUGGGGACUCUAAAGGAACUGCCUACGCAAGUAGUGAGGAAGGCGGGGAUGACGUCAAAUCAGCACGGCCCUUACGUCCAGGGCUACACACGUGCUACAAUGGCCGAUACAGAGGGCAGCUACCUGGUGACAGGAUGCAAAUCUCCAAAGUCGGUCUCAGUUCGGAUCGGAGUCUGCAACCCGACUCCGUGAAGUUGGAUUCGCUAGUAAUCGCGCAUCAGCCGUGGCGCGGUGAAUACGUUCCCGGGCCUU